GACGAACGCUGGCGGCGUGCUUAACACAUGCAAGUCGAGCGGAAAGGCCCUUCGGGGUACUCGAGCGGCGAACGGGUGAGUAACACGUGAGUAAUCUGCCCUGCACUCUGGGAUUGCCUUGGGAAACUGAGAUUAAUACCGGAUAUGUUCACUUCCCGCAUGGGCUGGUGGAGGAAAGUUUUUCGGUGCAGGAUGUGCUCGCGGCCUACCAGCUUGUUGGUGGGGUAAUGGCCUACCAAGGCUUCGACGGGUAGCCGGCCUGAGAGGGUGACCGGCCACACUGGGACUGAGACACGGCCCAGACUCCUACGGGAGGCAGCAGUGGGGAAUAUUGGACAAUGGGCGGAAGCCUGAUCCAGCAACGCCGCGUGAGGGAUGACGGCCUUCGGGUUGUAAACCUCUUUCAGCACAGACGAAGCGCAAGUGACGGUAUGUGCAGAAGAAGGACCGGCCAACUACGUGCCAGCCGCCGCCGUAA
rnacentral:rRNA from 1 species